UCGGAUCCCUCCAACGGAUGAACCUCUCCAGCACCAUCCGACAUCCACUGUCGGUCGACCCUCUAUCGAAUUCUGUGUGAAAUCGAACUUCAUCUACGGAAAGCCUCUGACCGAGCUCCUACAGCAAGUGGCCCUCGCCUGCAGUAUUAACGCCUAAGGCACCCAACGGUAGAAGGCUCGCGAGCAACAUCCGAGCUCCUCUCAGAUGGAUAGCUACCUCUCUCCGCCA
rnacentral:lncRNA from 1 species